CAGUAGCCGCGGUAACACAGAGGGUGCGAGCGUUAAUCGGAUUUACUGGGCGUAAAGCGUGCGUAGGCGGCUUCUUAAGUCGGAUGUGAAAUCCCUGAGCUUAACUUAGGAAUUGCAUUCGAUACUGGGAAGCUAGAGUAUGGGAGAGGAUGGUAGAAUUCCAGGUGUAGCGGUGAAAUGCGUAGAGAUCUGGAGGAAUACCGAUGGCGAAGGCAGCCAUCUGGCCUAAUACUGACGCUGAGGUACGAAAGCAUGGGGAGCAAACAGGAUUAGAUACCCCGGUAGUCCCUGUCUCUUAUAC
rnacentral:rRNA from 1 species